GACGAACCGAGCGAACGUUGUUCGGAAUCACUGGGCUUAAAGGGCGCGUAGGCGGGCCGCCAAGUUCGAGGUGAAAUCCUCCGGCUCAACCGGAGAACUGCCUCGAAUACUGGAGGCCUCGAGGCGGGUAGGGGCACGCGGAACUGUGGGUGGAGCGGUGAAAUGCGUUGAUAUCCACAGGAACUCCGGUGGCGAAGGCGGCGUGCUGGACCCGAUCUGACGCUGAGGCGCGAAAGCCAGGGGAGCAAACGGG
rnacentral:rRNA from 1 species